CGGUUGAUCCUGCCGGGCCUGACUGCUAUCGGAUUGAUACUAAGCCAUGCGAGUCAUUGCAGCAAUGCAAGGCAGACGGCUCAGUAACGCGUAGUCAACCUAACCUAUGGACGGGAAUAACCUCGGGAAACUGAGAAUAAUGCCCGAUAGAACACUAUACCUGGAAUGGUUUGUGUUCCAAAUGAUUUAUCGCCGUAGGAUGGGACUGCGGCCUAUCAGUUUGUUGGUGAGGUAAUGGCCCACCAAGACUAUUACAGGUACGGGCUCUGAGAGGAGUAGCCCGGAGAUGGGUACUGAGACACGGACCCAGGCCCUAUGGGGCGUAGCAGGCGAGAAAACUUUGCAAUGUGCGAAAGCACGACAAGGUUAAUCCGAGUGGUUUCUGCUAAAGGAACCUUUUGUUAGUCCUAGAAACACUAACGAAUAAGGGGUGGGCAAGUUCCGGUGUCAGCCGCCGCGGUAAAACCAGCACCUCAAGUGGUCAGGAUGAUUAUUGGGCCUAAAGCAUCCGUAGCCGGCUCUGUAAGUUUUCGGUUAAAUCUGUACGCUCAACGUACAGGCUGCCGGGAAUACUGCAGAGCUAGGGAGUGGGAGAGGUAGACGGUACUCGGGAGGAAGUAGUAAAAUGCUUUGAUCUCUCGAUGAC
rnacentral:rRNA from 1 species